UACGUAGGGUGCAAGCGUUUAUCCGGAAUUAUUGGGCGUAAAGAGCUCGUAGGCGGUUUGUCGCGUCUGCUGUGAAAACUGGAGGCUCAACCUCCAGCCUGCAGUGGGUACGGGCAGACUAGAGUGCGGUAGGGGAGAUCGGAAUUCCUGGUGUAGCGGUGGAAUGCGCAGAUAUCAGGAAGAACACCGGUGGCGAAGGCGGCUCUCUGGGCCUUACCUGACGCUGAGGAGCGAAAGCGUGGGUAGCGAACAGG
rnacentral:rRNA from 1 species